rnacentral:rRNA from 1 species
UACGUAGGGUGCAAGCGUUUGUCCGGAAUUAUUGGGCGUAAAGAGCUCGUAGGCGGUUUGUCGCGUCUGCCGUGAAAGUCCGGGGCUCAACCCCGGGUCUGCAGUGGAUACGGGCAGGCUAGAGGUAGGUAGGGGAGAAUGGAAUUCCCGGUGUAGCGGUGAAAUGCGCAGAUAUCGGGAGGAACACCGGUGGCGAAGGCGGUUCUCUGGGCCUUACCUGACGCUGAGGAGCGAAAGCGUGGGGAGCGAACAGG